CUAAGGCGAGGCCGACAGGCGUAGUCGAUGGAUGACGGGUUGAUAUUCCCGUACCCGUGUGCGUGCGACAAGUGAUGAAUCUUAUGGUACUAACCACCCGCUUGUUUCUGCUGAUCUUUUUGGUUGGUGGUUUCAGGUGCGUGGGAUCUUCGUGGGUAGUAGUCAAGUGAUGGGGUGACGCAGAGUGGUAGCUAGGCUUCCUUAUUGGAUUGGAGUGCAAGCGUGUGGCCUGUGGGGUUGGGAAAUCCGCCCCACAUAUUAAGGGUGAGGCGUGAUGCGGACACCAUUUGUGGUGGUAGUUAGUGUGCCUGUGCUGCCGAGAAAAGCCUCUAGCGAGUGCGUGCAUGGCCCGUACCGGAAACCGACACAGGUGGUCAGGUAGAGAAUACUAAGGCGUUCGGGUGAACUGUGGUUAAGGAACUCGGCAAAAUGCCCCCGUAACUUCGGGAGAAGGGGGACCAUUACUGGUUGCUGACAGCAUGAUGGCUGGUGGUGGUCGCAGAGGAGAGAGGGAAGCGACUGUUUAUUAAAAACACAGGUCCGUGCGAAAACGUGGAAGUUGAGGUAUACGGACUGACGCCUGCCCGGUGCUGGAAGGUUAAGAGGACCCGUGAGCACGCCUUAUGUGUGUGCGAGGCGGAGAAUUGAAGCCCCAGUAAACGGCGGUGGUAACUAUAACCAUCCUAAGGUAGCGAAAUUCCUUGUCGGGUAAGUUCCGACCUGCACGAAUGGCGUAACGACUUCCCUGCUGUCUCAACCACAGGCCCGGUGAAAUUGCAGUACGAGUAAAGAUGCUCGUUUCGCGCGGCAGGACGAAAAGACCCCGGGACCUUUACUAUAGCUUGGUAUUGGUGUUUGGUCAUGCUUGUGUAGGAUAGGUGGGAGACUGUGAAACCGCAACGCUAGUUGUGGUGGAGUCGGUAAGUGAAAUACCACUCUGGUGUGAUUGGGUACCUGAACCUUGGCCCGUGAUCCGGGUUGGGGACAGUGCCUGGUGGGUAGUUUAACUGGGGCGGUUGCCUCCUAAAUGGUAACGGAGGCGCCCAAAGGUUUCCUCAGUCUGGUUGGCAAUCAGAUGGUGAGUGUAAGUGUAUAAGGGAGCUUGACUGUGACACUGACGGGUGGAGCAGGUGCGAAAGCAGGGACUAGUGAUCCGGCACCGACGUGUGGUUGUGGUGUCGCUCAACGGAUAAAAGGUACCCCGGGGAUAACAGGCUGAUCUUCCCCAAGAGUUCAUAUCGACGGGAUGGUUUGGCACCUCGAUGUCGGCUCGUCGCAUCCUGGGGCUGGAGUAGGUCCCAAGGGUUGGGCUGUUCGCCCAUUAAAGCGG
rnacentral:rRNA from 1 species